AAACCGCCUAGAGGUAAACGGGUGGAUCCGCAAAGUCGGCCCGCGGAAUUCAGCUCGGGAGGUUGCGCGCCCGCGGGUGGGUCGGGGAUCUUUAUCGACCCUCCCACCUCGGGACCGCGCGUCGACCGUGUGCACUUUCCGCGGGCAGAGCGCCACGACCGGUUCUCGGGCGGUCAGAAGGCGGCGGGGAUGGUAGGCGUGCGCUUCGGCGCGCGCUGGUAUAGCCCCGCCUGUCCCGAUCCGCUCGGGGACCGAGGAGCCGCCGCCGGCAGAGGCCGCCUUGCCUUCCUGGGAGGUUCGACUGGCAGAGACUGGGCAACCGUGUCUGCUGACCGCCUCUCGGUGAUGGAUGGGGUGGGCCCGCCGGCACAGGGUCGGUGGCGAAUCGGUCGGCCCUCCACCCGACCCGUCUUGAA
rnacentral:rRNA from 1 species